CCAAUAGCGUAUAUUAAAGUUGUUGCAGUUAAAAAGCUCGUAGUUGAAUUUCGGGGUCAGUGCGCUGGUCGUGCCUCUGGUAUGUACUGGUGUUUCUGAUUCCUCCCUUCUGACGAACCGUCAUGUCAUUAAUUUGGUGUGGCAGGGAAUCAGGACUGUUACUUUGAAAAAAUUAGAGUGUUUAAAGCAGGCUCGCGCUUGAAUACAUUAGCAUGGAAUAAUGAAAUAGGACGUUCGAUCCUAUUUUGUUGGUUUCUAGGAUUGACGUAAUGAUUAAUAGGGAUAGUUGGGGGCAUUAGUAUUCAAUUGUCAGAGGUGAAAUUCUUGGAUUUAUUGAAGACUAACUACUGCGAAAGCAUUUGCCAAGGAUGUUUUCAUUAAUCAAGAACGAAAGUUAGGGGAUCGAAGACGAUCAGAUACCGUCGUAGUCUUAACCAUAAACUAUGCCGACUAGGGAUCGGAUGAUGUUAAUUUUUUAAUGACUCAUUCGGCGCCUUACG
rnacentral:rRNA from 1 species